UACGUAGGGUGCAAGCGUUAUCCGGAAUUAUUGGGCGUAAAGAGCUCGUAGGCGGUUUGUCGCGUCUGCUGUGAAAACCGGAGGCUCAACCUCCGGCCUGCAGUGGGUACGGGCAAACUAGAGUGCGGUAGGGGAGAUUGGAAUUCCUGGUGUAGCGGUGGAAUGCGCAGAUAUCAGGAGGAACACCGAUGGCGAAGGCAGAUCUCUGGGCUGUAACUGACGCUGAGGAGCGAAAGCAUGGGGAGCGAACAGG
rnacentral:rRNA from 1 species